AAUGAACGCUGGCGGCGCGCCUAAUACAUGCAAGUCGAGCGAGAAGACGUAGCAAUACGUUUGUAAAGCGGCGAACGGGUGAGGAAUACAUGGGUAACCUACCCUCGAGUGGGGAAUAACUAGCCGAAAGGUUAGCUAAUACCGCGUACGCUUCUUGGACUUCGGUUCAGGGAGGAAAGCGAUACCGUGGGUAUCGCGCUCUUGGAUGGGCUCAUGUCCUAUCAGCUUGUUGGGAGGUAACGGCUCACCAAGGCUUCGACGGGUAGCUGGUCUGAGAGGACGAUCAGCCACACUGGCACUGCGACACGGGCCAGACUCCUACGGGAGGCAGCAGUAAGGAAUAUUGCGCAAUGGGCGAAAGCCUGACGCAGCGACGCCGCGUGGGGGAUGAAGGUCUUCGGAUUGUAAACCCCUUUCGGGAGGGAAGAUGGAACGAGCAAUCGUUCGGACGGUACCUCCAGAAGCAGCCACGGCUAACUUCGUGCCAGCAGCCGCAGUAA
rnacentral:rRNA from 1 species